GAGGUUAAGCGACUAAGCGUACACGGUGGAUGCCCUGGCAGUCAGAGGCGAUGAAGGGCGUACUAAUCUGCGAUAAGCGCCGGUAAGGUGAUAUGAACCGUUAUAACCGGCGAUACCCGAAUGGGGAAACCCAGUGUGAUUCGUCACACUAUCAUUAACUGAAUCCAUAGGUUAAUGAGGCGAACCGGGGGAACUGAAACAUCUAAGUACCCCGAGGAAAAGAAAUCAACCGAGAUUCCCCCAGUAGCGGCGAGCGAACGGGGAGGAGCCCAGAGCCUGAAUCAGCAUGUGUGUUAGUGGAAGCGUCUGGAAAGGCGCGCGAUACAGGGUGACAGCCCCGUACACAAAAGCGCAUGUGCUGUGAGCUCGAUGAGUAGGGCGGGACACGUGGUAUCCUGUCUGAAUAUGGGGGGACCAUCCUCCAAGGCUAAAUACUCCUGACUGACCGAUAGUGAACCAGUACCGUGAGGGAAAGGCGAAAAGAACCCCGGCGAGGGGAGUGAAAAAGAACCUGAAACCGUGUACGUACAAGCAGUGGGAGCCCCACCACCAAAGCAUU
rnacentral:rRNA from 1 species